CUGAUAGUCCACUACGUUAUCAAGUUCAAAGCCUAAGAAAUAUUGAACAUUUCCACACAUGAAUGUGGGUACUAUGUUUAAUUUGAGAAUGGCCAACUGUCCUCGAAGUCUCAAUCUCUUUGGAGCCUACCAGCUCCGAGAGAAGUUUGAGGAUGCUGCAAAACCCUCCCCUGCAAAUCCAUCUACUCCUCCCACUUCUAUCCUAAUGGGUGUAGUUCUUGGCUGUGCUGAGGAUCUGUAAGGCACCAGAUGUGAAAGUAAGGAAGAAAGAUGGAUGUGGAAGUAAGUCACUGCCCAGAGAAUAAGGAGACCUGGAUUCUAAUCUCAGCUCUGCCAUUAACUAGCUAUGAAACUAGGGCUCAAAAGGGAAUAAGAGAUCAAGGCAAGCAUGGACAUCUUGUAUGUGGAAGUGCAGACCAGAACUUGUAUCACAGCCAGUCAUAUCCGGUGCUUUCCAUGCUACUUUUACAUACAUGUAUCUUUAAAUUUGAUCCUCUUCUAGUUUAGUCUAAACUCUUUACUUUCUAACUUCCAAACCUAAAAGGUGC
rnacentral:lncRNA from 1 species